rnacentral:rRNA from 1 species
UACGGAGGUGCGAGCGUUAUCCGGAUUCGACUUGGGUUAAAGGGUGCGUAGGUGGGAAUGGUUAAGUCAGUGGUGAAAUCUCUGAAGCUUCGAACUCAGAAACUGCCAUUGAUACUAUGUUUCUUGAAUUAUCUGGAGGUCAGGCGGAAUAUGUCAUGUAGCGGUGAAAUGCUUAGAUAUGACAUAGAACACCAAUUGCGAAGGCAGCUGGCUACAGGUGGAUUACACUGAGGCACGAAAAGCGUGGGGGAUCAAACAGGG